ACUGCAAAGAUGCCGAGCAGAAAGGGGAAGUGGCGUUCGAUUUGAUGGUGAAUAGAUAAAUGGUGGCCUGAAAGAGCUAUUUAUAGAGAGAGAAACCAGGUUGCAAAUCAGAACUACGUGAGAAACUAGGAAAUAAAGGCGACAUGAACUUACUAUUCUUGCAUGAACGAAAGGGCAGGCCACUUGAGACAGAAUCAGGGUCAGGGGAAAAGGUAAAAUUUGAAGAUGUUAAGGAGUUGAUGAAGAUCUAGAGAAGAAGCAAAAAAAUAUCCAGAUAGGUUAUCUUUGGAGAGGAUCCGGGGACCUCUCUUCCUCUGAGACCUUAGAGGAGGAAAGGAUGACAGGUGCACAAUUCUGUGACUUUUGGUAAAUGCAUAGAGCUGAGCAGCCAUCAUCACAGUCCAGUUUUAGAACAUCUUCAUCGCCCACAGCCUCUCGUUUCUGCCUCUGACGGGCGUUUGGAUGGCUUCCACCUUGGGGCUGCUGUGAGUAGUGCCGCUAUAGACGUUCACAUGUGAGUCUUUGUGUGAACACAUGUUUUCAUUUCUCUUGCGCAUACAGCCAAGGCCGGAGUGUCUGGAUCCCAUGAUAAGUUUACUGUUCAACUUUUUAAGAAACCGCCAAACCGUUUUCUGAAGCAGUGGUACCACUUACACCCCCACGAGCUAUACAUGGGGCUUGUGGUUUCUCCUCAGGACCGGUGUCUUUGAUCCAUUUUUUUUUCCCACUCUGAUCUACCUUGAGUCAAUUUUUGUGCUUAUGUGACGUAAGAGUCUAAGUUUCUUAAAUUUGAAUAUCCGCUUGUCUCAGUACUAUUUUUCGAAAGGACUGUUUUCCCCCAUUGAAUCGUUUGGGCACCUUUGCAGGAAAGCAGUGGUCAUAAAUGUGAAGACGAGUUUAUUUCUGGACUCUCAGGUUUGUUCCUUAUUCCAGCCCCACACUGCCUUGCUCACUGUAGCUCCUCUAACAAGUUUUGAAAUUGUGAAGUGUAAGCCAGUCCACCAACUUGGUUCUUUUUAAAAAUCUGGCUAUUUUAGAUGCUUUGCAUUUUUAAAAUAAAUUUUAGGAUCGUUUUGUCUAUUUCUACAAAAAAAAAAAGAAAAGAAAAGAAAGGCAUUCCGGGGAUUUGAUAGG